rnacentral:rRNA from 1 species
GACGAACGCUGGCGGCGUGCUUAACACAUGCAAGUCGAACGGAAAGGCCAUGCGUUUGCGCGUUGCUCGAGUGGCGAACGGGGGAGUAACACGCGUGUAUCCUGCCCUUGACUUUGGGGUAUCUUCAGGAAACUGGGGCUAAUACCGGAGAGGAGCUCCUGCUGCAUGGUGGUGGAUGGAAAGUUUCGGCGUUGGGGGAUGGACUCGCGCCGUAUUCGCUAGUUGGGGGGGUAGUGGCUUACCAAGGCUACGAUGGGUAGCCGACCUGAGAGGGUGAUCGGCCACACUGGAACUGAGACGCGGUCCAGAGUCCUACGGGAGGCAGCAGUAGGGAAUCUUCCGCAAUGGGCGAAAGCGUGACGGAGCAACGCCGCGUGAGUGAUGAAGGUCUUCGGAUCGUAAAACGCUGUUAUUAGGGAAGAACAAAUGUGUAAGUAACUAUGCACGUCUUGACGGUACCUAAUCAGAAAGCCACGGCUAACUACGUG